rnacentral:rRNA from 1 species
GUGGGGAAUAUUGGACAAUGGGCGCAAGCCUGAUCCAGCCAUGCCGCGUGAGUGAUGAAGGCCUUAGGGUUGUAAAGCUCUUUUGUCCGGGAAGAUAAUGACUGUACCGGAAGAAUAAGCCCCGGCUAACUUCGUGCCGGCAGCCGCGGUAAUACGAAGGGGGCUAGCGUUGCUCGGAAUCACUGGGCGUAAAGGGCGCGUAGGCGGACUCUUAAGUCGGGGGUGAAAGCCCAGGGCUCAACCCUGGAAUAGCCUUCGAUACUGAGAGUCUUGAGUUCGGAAGAGGUUGGUGGAAUUGCGAGUGUAGAGGUGAAAUUCGUAGAUAUUCGCAAGAACACCAGUGGCGAAGGCGGCCAACUGGUCCGAUACUGACGCUGAGGCGCGAAAGCGUGGGGAGCAAACAGGAUUAGAUACCCUGGUAGUCC